AGGGAAUCUUCGGCAAUGGGGGCAACCCUGACCGAGCAACGCCGCGUGAGUGAAGAAGGUUUUCGGAUCGUAAAGCUCUGUUGUAAGAGAAGAACGUGUGUGAGAGUGGAAAGUUCACACAGUGACGGUAACUUACCAGAAAGGGACGGCUAACUACGUGCCAGCAGCCGCGGUAAUACGUAGGUCCCGAGCGUUGUCCGGAUUUAUUGGGCGUAAAGCGAGCGCAGGCGGUUUAAUAAGUCUGAAGUUAAAGGCAGUGGCUUAACCAUUGUUCGCUUUGGAAACUGUUAAACUUGAGUGCAGAAGGGGAGAGUGGAAUUCCAUGUGUAGCGGUGAAAUGCGUAGAUAUAUGGAGGAGCACCGGUGGCGAAAGCGGCUCUCUGGUCUGUAACUGACGCUGAGGCUCGAAAGCGUGGGGAGCAAAC
rnacentral:rRNA from 1 species